GACGAACGCUGGCGGCGUGCUUAACACAUGCAAGUCGAGCGGUAAGGCCCUUUCGGGGGUACACGAGCGGCGAACGGGUGAGUAACACGUGGGUGACCUGCCCUCAGCUCUGGGAUAAGCCUGGGAAACCGGGUCUAAUACCGGAUAUGACUCCAUGACGCAUGUUGUGGGGUGGAAAGCCUUGUGCGGCUGAGGAUGGGCCCGCGGCCUAUCAGCUUGUUGGUGGGGUNAUGGCCUACCAAGGCGACGACGGGUAGCCGGCCUGAGAGGGCGACCGGCCACACU
rnacentral:rRNA from 1 species